rnacentral:rRNA from 1 species
UACGUAGGGGGCUAGCGUUGUCCGGAAUCAUUGGGCGUAAAGCGCGCGUAGGCGGCCCGAUAAGUCUGCUGUGAAAGUCCAGGGCUCAACCCUGGAAUGCCGGUGGGUACUGUCGGGCUAGAGUUCGGAAGAGGCAAGUGGAAUUCCUGGUGUAGCGGUGGAAUGCGCAGAUAUCAGGAGGAACACCUAUAGCGAAGGCAGCUUGCUGGGACGACACUGACGCUGAGGCGCGAAAGCGUGGGGAGCGAACAGG